CUUCAUCGAGCCCAGCCACAAAGGCCGCUCACGGUCCUGCCCGUAGGUGGCGAGGACCGCCUGGGCCUC
rnacentral:antisense_RNA from 1 species